rnacentral:tRNA from 1 species
AUUUCUUUAGCAUAAUAAUGCAUUUAACUUCCAAUUAAAAGAUCCUAUAAGAAAUA